AUUGAACGCUGGCGGCAUGCCUUACACAUGCAAGUCGAACGGCAGCACGGGUGCUUGCACCUGGUGGCGAGUGGCGAACGGGUGAGUAAUACAUCGGAACAUGUCCUGUAGUGGGGGAUAGCCCGGCGAAAGCCGGAUUAAUACCGCAUACGAUCUACGGAUGAAAGCGGGGGACCUUCGGGCCUCGCGCUAUAGGGUUGGCCGAUGGCUGAUUAGCUAGUUGGUGGGGUAAAGGCCUACCAAGGCGACGAUCAGUAGCUGGUCUGAGAGGACGACCAGCCACACUGGGACUGAGACACGGCCCAGACUCCUACGGGAGGCAGCAGUGGGGAAUUUUGGACAAUGGGCGAAAGCCUGAUCCAGCAAUGCCGCGUGUGUGAAGAAGGCCUUCGGGUUGUAAAGCACUUUUGUCCGGAAAGAAAUACUGGGCCCUAAUACGGUCGGGGGAUGACGGUACCGGAAGAAUAAGCACCGGCUAACUACGUG
rnacentral:rRNA from 1 species